rnacentral:rRNA from 1 species
CAGUAGCCGCGGUAAAACGAAGGGUGCAAGCGUUAAUCGGAAUUACUGGGCGUAAAGCGUGCGUAGGCGGUGAGUUAAGUCUGCUGUGAAAUCCCCGGGCUCAACCUGGGAAUGGCAGUGGAUACUGGCUCGCUAGAGUGUGUCAGAGGAUGGUGGAAUUCCCGGUGUAGCGGUGAAAUGCGUAGAGAUCGGGAGGAACAUCAGUGGCGAAGGCGGCCAUCUGGGACAACACUGACGCUGAGGCACGAAAGCGUGGGGAGCAAACAGGAUUAGAGACCCCCGUAGUCCCUGUCUCUUAUAA